rnacentral:rRNA from 1 species
UACAGAGGUCUCAAGCGUUGUUCGGAUUCAUUGGGCGUAAAGGGUGCGUAGGCGGCGCGGUAAGUCGGGUGUGAAAUCUUGGAGCUUAACUCCGAAACUGCAUUCGAUACUGCUGUGCUUGAGGACUGGAGAGGAGACUGGAAUUUACGGUGUAGCGGUGAAAUGCGUAGAUAUCGUAAGGAAGACCAGUGGCGAAGGCGGGUCUCUGGACAGUUCCUGACGCUGAGACACGAAAGCGUGGGGAGCAAACAGG